rnacentral:rRNA from 1 species
AACGAACGCUGGCGGCAGGCCUAACACAUGCAAGUCGAGCGAUGACUUCGGUCCUAGCGUCGGACGGGUGAGUAACGCGUGGGAACGUGCCCUUUGCUUGCGAAUAGCCCUGGGAAACUGUGAGUAAUACCGGAUGAGCCCUUUGUGGGAAAGAUUUAUCGGCGAAGGAUCGGCUCGCGUUGGAUCAGGUAGUUGGUGGGGUAAUGGCCUACCAAGCCGACGAUCCAUAGCUGGUUUGAGAGGAUGAUCAGCCACACUGGGACUGAGACACGGCCCAGACUCCUACGGGAGGCAGCAGUGGGGAAUCUUAGACAAUGGGGGAAACCCUGAUCUAGCCAUGCCGCGUGAGCGAUGAAGGCCUUAGGGUUGUAAAGCUAGUUCAGCUGGGAAGAUAAUGACGGUACCAGCAGAAGAAGCCCCGGCUAACUCCGUG